rnacentral:rRNA from 1 species
GGGCCCGCACAAGCGGCGGAGCAUGUUGCUUAAUUCGAGGCAACGCGAAGAACCUUACCUGGGUUUGACAUGUACCGAAAAGCCAUAGAGAUAUGGUUGUCCUUCGGGGCGGUACACAGGUGGUGCAUGGCUGUCGUCAGCUCCGUGUCGUGAGAUGUUGGGUUAAGUCCCGCAACGAGCGCAACCCUCGUCCUAUGUUGCCAGCACGUAAUGGUGGGGACUCGUAGGAGACUGCCGGGGUCAACUCGGAGGAAGGUGGGGACGACGUCAAGUCAUCAUGCCCCCUUAUAUCCAGGGCUGCAAACAUGCUACAAUGGCCGGUACAAAGGGCAGCGAAACCGCGAGGUCAAGCGAAUCCCACAAAGCCGGUCUCAGUUCGGAUUGGAGUCUGCAACUCGACUCCAUGAAGCUGGAGUCGCUAGUAAUCCCGGAU